rnacentral:tRNA from 1 species
GAGGAUAUAGCUCAAGUGGUAGAGCACAUGCUUAUCAUGCAAGAGGUCCUGGGUUCAAUCCUCAGUACCUCU